rnacentral:rRNA from 1 species
CGUCCUUAGUUGAAAAGACUGCUAUCGCUCUAUGUACACUACUGAAGAAGUUAGAAGUUCGAGGCGUUCAGAUUAGAAAUUAACUGCAACAGACACAGAUACCAGAUCGCUACAAAGAAUAUUUUUGUACCAACGAGGGGGCUAGGGGGUUAAAAGAAAGUACAUAUAUUUUUUUUAGUGGAACGUGUUACACUAACUUGAGGAUUGUAUCAAUUGAAGGGUUUGGAUCUGAAAGAUUCUGUUAUGUUGUGAUUAAGGGAACCAUGCAUUGGACGACUGGAACUGAACGAAGGGGCCGGCCGUCCGGCCGUCGCUGGCACAAAGGCAACGGAACCACGUUACACGAUCGUAGAUGUUCUGAAGCCUUUAAUUGUCCUUUUUGCAACACAUCAGAUAACCUCCCUAACAGGCAAUAUUUUCGGGGCACGGACAAGUGAACGUCAUGUCCUGAUGUCCACCACCACCCGACCACCGAAGACGGAACCGAUCGAUCUAGUUGACCACUACGAUCCUAACUGUUCGACGAUCUAAGCCGACUCGCCGACAAACAAAGUGAGGAGCAAACACUACCGACUAUUAUGGUUCAAGGAGGCAAACAAAGAGGAGAACUCGUCGAGUGGUGACACAAAACCAUGACUUGUUCUAUAGGCCACGGACUACAGACAUGUUCCGAGUAACCGACUAGGCCCGCCACAUGAGUCUAGAACCUUGAAACUUUUACUUUGGUUGCCAAUGUAUACGGCGAAAUGACCACACCUUACGACCGUGGGGCUGCUCUUGUUCUAAGAGAGAGACGCUGAUCCGUUGGACCCUGAAGUUCCGGUUAAAGGACAACGAGAUGUCUUAACAAGUUCGGACUGGCCGAACCUGGACAGUUUAUUGUUAAAAAGUCCUGGUUAGGGAGCCCUGUAAAGUGUCCACUACGGCAUAGACUGUAGAGACCUGGAAAGCAUGUUAUCGAAAAGCCCAAGCUAGGGUGUCUUAUAGAGUUUAUACUGUAUAGACUUAUAGGAGUUGGAAGUCGUAUUGGUCGAGUCGCCAGUUUAAGGUGGCGUUAAGUGAAACGAAUGAGCCAAUUGGCGUAAGUUACAGCGCCUGUUGAACAAUAGUCCCGGAUAAGGAAGAAACGAUGUUUUGAUAAGCCGAAGCUUGAAACGACCAUUGGUUCCCGAAACACCAAGUGGCAACCUACUAACAGGGGGGAGCUCCUCCUCUACCUCUGGCCAUGUUUAGUUCGACGUGUCCGAGUUGCUGGUCAGUUCGUAGCCUCACCGGCAGCCUAAGCACCACCCCAAGCACCACCGGAAGAUGAAGGGCGUGACGAAGCAGACGAGGCUCUCCGAGGCUCGGAUGCAGCAGGCGUAUACUAAGUGGACAAUAAGACUUUGAAACAGAUCAUAUCGAAGGCCUCCGGUUUACUCGUGAAAGGCCGUCAUUUAGAAAAAAUCGAACAACGGACGUCAUUACUAAUAGAAUUAAAUCAACUAUCAUACGGACCGUUAAUCGUUGACGGCCACGAACAAUUACGUAUAAACUUGAGAAGAUGUUUCUACGCUCCGUAGUUGACCGGUACUAAUAAUACAUGGGACAGGUGUAAAGAUUUCCUUG